rnacentral:lncRNA from 1 species
GCGGGCAAAGCCGCGCCAAAAAAUAAGUGCCCGAAGGUCGUGGUGCCAAAACCCCCCAGCGGAAAAAUUGCCAAAAAACGGGUGGGCUAUAGCCUUGGUGGGGGGCGCGGGCGAAGUUCGUCCGCCGGACUCGGAAUGGGGCGAGACUUUGCGUGGGGCCUCGGGGUGCCCGCGGUAAGUCGCGGGCACAGCCGCCCCGAAAAAUAAGCGCCCGAAGGUCGUGGUGCCAAAACCCCCCAGCGGAAAAAUGGCCAAAAAACGGGUGGGCUAUAGCCUUGGUGGGGGGCGCGGGCGAAGUUUGUCCGCCGGACUCGGAAUGGGGUGAGACUUUGCGAGGGGCCUCGGGGUGCCCGCGGGAAGUCGCGGGUACAGCCGCGCCCAAAAAUAAGUGCCCGAAGGUCGUGGUGCCAAAACCCCCCAGCGGAAAAAUGGCCAAAAAACGGGUGGGCUAUAGCCUUGGUGGGCGGAGCGGGCGAAGUUCGUCCGCCGGACUCGGAAUGGGGCGAGACUUUGCGAGGGGCCUCGGGGUGCCAAAAAUAAGCCGCGGGUAAAGCUGCGCCCAAAAAUAAGCGCCCGAAGGUCGUGGUGCCAAAACCCCCCAGCGGAAAAAUGGCCAAAAAACGGGUGGGCUAUAGCCUUGGUGGGGGCGCGGGCGAAGUUCGUCCGCCGGACUCGGAAUGGGGCGAGACUUUGCGAGUGGCCUCGGGGUGCCCGCGGGAAGUCGCGGGCACAGCCGCACCCAAAAAUAAUCGCCUGAAGGUCGUGGUGCCAAAACCCCCCAGCGGAAAAAUGGCCAAAAAACGAUUGGGUUAUAGCCUUGGUGGGGGGCGCGGGCGAAGUUCAUCCGCCGGACUCGGAAUGGGGCAAGACUUUGCGAGGUGCCUCGGGGUGCCCGCGGGAAGUCGCGGGCACAGCCACGCCCAAAAAUAAGCGCCCGAAGGUCGUGGUGCCAAAACCCCCCAGCGGAAAAAUGGCCAAAAAACGGGUGGGUUAUAGCCUUGGUGGGGGGCGCGGGCGAAGUUCGUCCGCCGGACUCGGAAUGGGGCGAGACUUUGCGAGGGGCCUCGGGGUGCCAAAAAUAAGCCGCGGGCAAACCGCGCCCAAAAAUAAGCGGCCGAAGGUCGUGGUGCCAAAACCCCCCAGCGGAAAAAUGGCCAAAAAACGGGUGGGCUAUAGCCUUGGUGGGCGGAGCGGGCGAAGUUCGUCCGCCGGACUCGGAAUGGGGCGAGACUUUGCGAGGGGCCUCGGGGUGCCAAAAAUAAGCCGCGGGCAAAGCCGCGCCCAAAAAUAAGCGCCCGAAGGUCGUGGUGCCAAAACCCCCCAGCGGAAAAAUGGCCAAAAAACGGGUGGGCUAUAGCCUUGGUGGGGGGCGCGGGCGAAGUUCGUCCGCCGGACUCGGAAUGGGGUGAGACUUUGCGAGUGGCCUCGGGGUGCCCGCGGGAAGUCGCGGGCACAGCCGCACCCAAAAAUAAUCGCCCGAAGGUCGUGGUGCCAAAACCCCCCAGCGGAAAAAUGGCCAAAAAACGGGUGGGUUAUAGCCUUGGUGGGGGGCGCGGGCGAAGUUCGUCCGCCGGACUCGGAAUGGGGCGAGACUUUGCGAGGGGCCUCGGGGUGCCCGCGGGAAGUCGCGGGCACAGCCACGCCCAAAAAUAAGCUCCCGAAGGUCGUGGUGCCAAAACCCCCCAGCGGAAAAAUGGCCAAAAAACGGGUGGGUUAUAGCCUUGGUGGGGGGCGCGGGCGAAGUUCGUCCGCCGGACUCGGAAUGGGGCGAGACUUUGCGAGGGGCCUCGGGGUGCCAAAAAUAAGCCGCGGGCAAACCGCGCCCAAAAAUAAGCGCCCGAAGGUCGUGGUGCCAAAACCCCCCAGUGGAAAAAUGGCCAAAAAACGGGUGGGUUAUAGCCUUGGUGGGGGGCGCGGGCGAAGUUCGUCCGCCGGACUCGGAAUGGGGCGAGACUUUGCGAGGGGCCUCGGGGUACCAAAAAUAAGCCGCGGGCAAACCGCGCCCAAAAAUAAGCGCCCGAAGGUCGUGGUGCCAAAACACCCCAGCGGAAAAAUGGCCAAAAAACGGGUGGGCUAUAGCCUUGGGGGGCGGCGCGGGUGAAGUUCGUCCGCCGGACUCGGAAUGGGGCGAGACUUUGCGAGGGGCCUCGGGGUGCCAAAAAUAAGCCGCGGGCAAAGCCGCGCCCAAAAAUAAGCGCCCGAAGGACGUGGUGCCAAAACACCCCAGCGGAAAAAUGGCCAAAAAACGGGUGGGCUAUAGCCUUGGUGGGGGGCGCGGGCGAAGUUCGUCCGCCGGACUCGGAAUGGGGCGAGACUUUGCGAGUGGCCUCGCGGUGCCCGCGGGAAGUCGCGGGCACAGCCGCGCCCAAAAAUAAGCGCCCGAAGGUCGUGGUGCCAAAACCCCCCAGCGGAAAAAUGGCCAAAAAACGGGUGGGCUAUAGCCUUGGUGGGGGGCGCGGGCGAAGUUCGUCCACCGGACUCGGAAUGGGGCGAGACUUUGCGAGGGGCCUCGGGGUGCCAAAAAUAAGCCGCGGGCAAAGACGCGCCCAAAAAUAAGCGCCCGAAGAUCGUGGUGCCAAAACCCCCCAGUGGAAAAAUGGCCAAAAAAUGGGUGGCCUAUAGCCUUGGUGGGGGGCGCGGGCGAAGUUCGUCCGCCGGACUCGGAAUGGGGCGAGACUUUGCGAGGGGCCUCGGGGUGCCAAAAAUAAGCCGCGGGCAAAGCCACGCCCAAAAAUAAGCGUCCGAAGGUCGUGGUGCCAAAACCCCCCAGCGGAAAAAUGGCCAAAAAACGGGUGGGCUAUAGCCUUGGUGGGGGGCGCGGGCGAAGUUCAUCCGCCGGACUCGGAAUGGGGCGAGACUUUGCGAGGGGCCUCGGGGCGCCCGCGGGAAGUCGCGGGCACAGCCGCGCCCAAAAAUAAGCGCCCGAAGGUUGUGGUGCCAAAAUCCCCCAGCGGAAAAAUGGCCAAAAAACGGGUGGGCUAUAGCCUUGGUGUGGGGCGCUGGCGAAGUUCGUCCGCCGGACUCGGAAUGGGGCGAGACUGUGCGAGGGGCCUCGGGGCGCCAAAAAUAAGCCACGGGCAAAGCCGCGCCCAAAAAUAAGUGCCCGAAGGUCGUGGUGCCAAAACCCCCCAGCGGAAAAAUGGCCAAAAAACGGGUGGGCUAUAGCCUUGGUGGGGGGCUCGGGCGAAGUUCGUCCGCCGGACUCGGAAUGGGGCGAGACUUUGCGAGGGGCCUUGGGGUGCCCGCGGGAAGUCGCGGGUACAGCCGCGCCCAAAAAUAAGCGCCCGAAGGUCGUGGUGCCAAAACCCCCCAGCGGAAAAAUGGCCAAAAAACGGGUGGGCUAUAGCCUUGGUGGGGGGCGCGGGCGAAGUUCGUCCGCCGGACUCGGAAUGGGGCGAGACAUUGCGAGGGGCCUCGGGGCGCCAAAAAUAAGCCGCGGGCAAAGCCGCGCCCAAAAAUAAGUGCCCGAAGGUCGUGGUGCCAAAACCCCCCAGUGGAAAAAUGGCCAAAAAACGGGUGGGUUAUAGCCUUGGUGGGGGGCGCGGGCGAAGUUCGUCUGCCGGACUCGGAAUGGCCCCAGACUUUGCGGGCGGCCUCCGUGUGCCAAAAAUAGGCCAUGGGCACACCCGCGCCCAAAAUUCAGCCCCCGAAGGUCGGGGCGCCAAGACCCCCCAGCGGAAAAAUGGCCAAAAAACGGGUGGGCUAUAGCCUUGGUGGGGGGCGUGGGCGAAGCUCGUCCGCCGGACUCGCAAUGGCCCCAGACUUUGCGGGCGGCCUCCGUGUGCCAAAAAUAGGCCACGGGCACACCCGCGCCCAAAAAUCAGCCCCCGAAGGUCGGGGCGCCAAGACCCCCCAUUGGAAAAAUGGCCAAAAAACGGGUGGGCUAUAGCCUUGGUGGGGGGCGUGGGCGAAGUUCGUCCGCCGGACUCGGAAUGGCCCCAGACUUUGCGGGCGGCCUCCGUGUGCCAAAAAUAGGCCACGGGCACACCCGCGCCCAAAAUUCAGCCCCCGAAGGUCGGGGCGCCAAGACCCCCCAGCGGAAAAAUGGCCAAAAAACGGGUGGGCUAUAGCCUUGGUGGGGGGCGUGGGCGAAGCUCGUCCGCCGGACUCGCAAUGGCCCCAGACUUUGCGGGCGGCCUCCGUGUGCCAAAAAUAGGCCACGGGCACACCCGCGCCCAAAAAUCAGCCCCCGAAGGUCGGGGCGCCAAGACCCCCCAGCGGAAAAAUGGCCAAAAAACGGGUGGGCUAUAGCCUUGGUGGGGGGCGCGGGCGACGUUCGUCCGCCGGACUCGGAAUGCGGCGAGACUUUGCGAGGGGCCUCGGGGUGCCAAAACUAAGCCGCGGGCAAAGCC